rnacentral:rRNA from 1 species
AUUGAACGCUGGCGGCAUGCUUUACACAUGCAAGUCGAACGGUAACAGGGUGCUUGCACCGCUGACGAGUGGCGAACGGGUGAGUAAUGCGUCGGAACGUGCCGAGUAGUGGGGGCUAACGCAGCGAAAGUUGUGCUAAUACCGCAUACGUACUGAGGUAGAAAGUGGGGGACCUUCGGGCCUCACGCUAUUCGAGCGGCCGACGUCUGAUUAGCAAGUAGGUGAGGUAAAGGCUCACCUAGGCGACGAUCAGUAGCGGGUCUGAGAGGAUGAGCCGCGGAACGGGGACGGAGAGAAGGCCCAGACUCCUACGGGAGGCAGCAGUGGGGAAUUUUGGACAAUGGGCGAAAGCCUGAUCCAGCCAUGCCGCGUGUCUGAAGAAGGCCUUCGGGUUGUAAAGGACUUUUGUCAGGGAGGAAAUCCCUAGUGCUAAUAACACUGGGGGAUGACAGUACCUGAAGAAUAAGCACCGGCUAACUACGUGCCAGCCGCCGCAGUAA